rnacentral:rRNA from 1 species
AAGGGAUCGCCAAGCGAAGACGGGUACAGGGUGGAUGCCUAGGGGCCAAGUGCCGACGAAGGGCGCGGAGCGCGGCGAAACGUGCCAGGGGAGCUGCAUGCGAGCGAUGAGCCUGGCGAACCCGAAUGGGGCAACCCGUGGCGGUGCGAGCCGUCACAUCCAUGGCUGAAUGCAUAGGUCAUGCGAAGGGCACCGGGGGAACUGAAACAUCUCAGUACCCCGAGGAAGCGAAAUCAAAGAUGAGAGGGCCGGAGUAGUGGCGAGCGAAACGGUCUGAGCCCAAACCGGUGGGGGUCUCGCAAGGGACCGUUGCCGGGGUUGUAGGGCACGACAGGUUGCAAGACCACCUGCCGGACGUGGGGAGCAGCCGAAGGGUUCUGGAAAGGCCCACCAGAGCGGGUGAGAGUCCCGUAGGCGACGCUGGACCACGGGGGCGGGGUCGUGACCCUGAGUACCACGGGACACGUGAAAUCCUGUGGGAAGCUGGGGGGACCACCCUCCAAGGCUAACUACACUUGGCCACCGAUAGGGAACGAGUACCGUGAGGGAAAGGUGAAAAGCACCCCGCGAGGGGAAUGAAACAGACCCUGAAACCCUGUACUUACCAGCAGUCGGAGGGCGUUGUGCCGUCCCGCCUCUCGUGGGCGGGCGUGCGCAGCCUGACGGCGUGCCUUUUGAAGAAUGAUCCGGCGAGUUCAUGUUGGCAGCGUCCCGUUACCGGGAGCGAGGUUAAGCGGCAGCAAGCGCCGUGGAGCCGCAGCGAAAGCGAGUCUGAACAGGGCGUUGUGCGCAAGCACGCAGUCGUUGCCAGGAUGAGACCCGAAACCGGGUGAGCUAUCCAUGGGCAGGGUGAAGCGGGGGUAAGACCUCGUCGAGGCCCGAACUCACCAGUGUUGCAAAACUGGGGGAUGACCUGUGGAUAGAGGAGAAAUUCCAAUCGAACCCGGAGAUAGCUGGUUCUCCCCGAAAUGUAUGGAGGUACAGCCGUUGCUAGCGGGUAGCCACUCCCGCGUAUUGAAGCCUGCCUGGGAGGUAGGGCGCUGGCUGGGCUCGGGGCGCUCUGCGCGUUACCAACCCCAACCAAACCAUGAAUGCCCAGGUGAGGCGCGGCAACGAGUGAGGUGGCGGGGGCUAACCUUCGUCAUCAAGAGGGAAACAACCCAGACCGCCGGCUAAGGUCCCCAACUAUCCGCUGAGUGGGAAAGGUUGUGGCGUUGCGCAGACAGCCAGGAGGUUGGCUUAGAAGCAGCCAUCCUUGAAAGAGUGCGUAAUAGCUCACUGGUCGAGUGGCACCGCGCCGACAACGUAACGGGGCUGAAGCGGAUGACCGAAGCCGCGGAACGGUUCUGAAUGGAGCCGUUGGUAGGGGAGCGUUCGGGAGUAGCAGAGAAGCCAGAGCGGAAGCACUGGUGGAGCGAACCGAAGUGCGAAUGCCGGAAUGAGUAGCGUCAAUGAGUGUGGAAACCACUCACACCGCAAGCCUGAGGGUUCCGGGGCAACGGCAGUCGUCCCCGGGUCAGUCGGGACCUAAGCCGAGGCCGCACGGGCGUAGGCGAUGGCAAGCAGGUUGAGAGUCCUGCACGUGCGCGACUGGGAGCGAAGGGGGGACGCGGUAGCCAGCGUGAGCCGGGCGAAUGGACAGGCCCGGUAGGGCACGGAAGGUGGGGUUCCAGGCAAAUCCGGGACCCGAUUGAACACCGCACGUGCUCGCGAGUCGCCGUUGAGGCGACGGAAGUCACGCCGUGGGCAGAUCGCCGAGAAAAGCCUCUAAGCGGAUAAAAGACCAGCAGCGCACCCCGUACCGCACACCGACACUGGUGGGCUGGGGUAAGCACCCCAAGGUGGACGAGCGAUCCUCGGUUAAGGAACUCGGCAAAUUAGCCCCGUAACUUCGGGAGAAGGGGCGCCCCGGCAGCGUAGGCUGGAUUCUCUUCGGAGGGUGCCAGUUGAGCGUGAGGGGGCCGCAGAGAAAAGGCUCAAGCGACUGUUUACCAAAAACACAGGUCUCUGCCACGGCGCAAGCCGACGUAUAGGGGCUGAUGCCUGCCCAGUGCCGGAAUGUUAAGGGGAGGGGUGUACGUAGCCUCGAACCGAAGCACCGGUAAACGGCGGCCGUAACUAUAACGGUCCUAAGGUAGCGAAAUUCCUUGUCGGGUAAGUUCCGACCCGCACGAAAGGCAUAACGACUUGAGCACUGUCUCGACCGAGGGCUCGGCGAAAUUGAAGUACCCGUGAAGAUGCGGGUUUCCCGCGACAGGACAAAAAGACCCCGUGGAGCUUUACUACACCUUGGUCUGGGCGCGAGGCCAGGCCUGCGUAGGAUAGGUGGGAGCCGGAGAAGCGUUGCUUGUGGGCGGCGUGGAGGCAGCAGUGAAAUACCACUCUUGCGUGGACUUGCGUCUCAUGGUGGGCCGUGAGCCGGCCACCAGACAGGGCCAGGCGGGUAGUUUGACUGGGGCGGUCGCCUCCCAAAAGGUAACGGAGGCGCCCAAGGGUUCCCUCAGGGUGAAUGGACACCACCCGCGCGAGUGCAAUGGCACAAGGGAGCUUGACUGCGAGGCCAACCAGCCGAGCAGGGACGAAAGUCGGGCAUAGUGACCCAACGGUGCGGAGUGGAACGGCCGUUGAUCAACGGACAAAAGCUACCCCGGGGAUAACAGGCUUAUCUUGCCCAAGAGUUCAUAUCGACGGCAAGGUUUGGCACCUCGAUGUCGGCUCGUCGCAUCCUGGGGCUGGAGUCGGUCCCAAGGGUUGGGCUGUUCGCCCAUUAAAGCGGCACGCGAGCUGGGUUCAGAACGUCGUGAGACAGUUCGGUCUCUAUCCGUCGCGGGCGGAGGAAUCUUGCGGGGCGUCGCUCCCAGUACGAGAGGACCGGAGUGGCUGGACCGCUGGUGUGCCGGUUGGCCUGCCCAGGCCAGCGCCGGAUAGCCAUGUCCAGAAAGGAGAAGCGCUGAACGCAUCUAAGCGCGAAGCCGACCCCAAGAUGAGGAUUCCCGUCUCAGACCCUCGUGGUCUGGGCCGAAGACCCCACGUAGAUGACGUGGUUGCUAGGUCGGAGGUGUACGCACGGUAACGUGCUCAGCCAACCGCCCCUAAUGGUCAAGUGGCUUGGCAUC